CCACAGACAGUUGGGACAAGAUUGUAGCAUUUUACCGUGCUUGUGUUUCGGACCCCUCCGACUAUUUCAACUGGACUCUUCAAACAGCGAAUGGUGGUCUUAUAGCCUUUGGCGCGUUCGUGGCAUGGGAAACAAGACGAGUACACAUAGACGCCUUAAACGACUCCAAGACGAUUGGUAUAUGUUUGUACAACGUUGUCGUUCUCAGCGUUGUUGGUCUGUUUCUGUCGCUGAUGCUUAAGGACAGACCGAUUGAACUGCUUGGAGUCACUUCCGUGUGCCUUUUCGUCGGAACUCUCGUCUCGGAGAUGUUGAUAUUUCUCCCAAAGAUGUUAGCUGUUUACCGGAAACCCAUUGCAACCCCACCGAAAGCAUUGAUACAUCUAGAAUCCUCGACAACAUCGAAACUAACAUCACACCGUAUUGAAUUAAGCACAAUUCGUGCAUUGGACAGGGAAACACAAACUGAACUUACGACAGAUUGGAAUAAAAAAAACAAAUGCACUCAAACCGAGUUUGUAUAGACGUAACACAAUUAACUGACGACGAGAUUGGAUUGAAAACAAAAUUUAACUUACCACGAGAUUGGAUUUACAUUACAAAUUGAUUUUACGAUUAGAUUAGAUUAAUAUCACAACUUGAACUUACGACGAGAUUGGAUUGACAAUACAAAUUUAACAUUGGGCGCGAUUGGAUUGAGAACAUAAAUUGUUAAUUAUUAUAAAUUAUAACAUGUAAGUGUAAUUGGCUGUACGAUUUAUUAUAAUUCUUUUAACAAAUUGGUUAUAUAAUAUUUUUUGUAGCUUAAGAUUGACAUACUUAACAAGAUAUGU